rnacentral:rRNA from 1 species
AGAGUUUGAUCCUGGCUCAGAUUGAACGCUGGCGGAAUGCUUUACACAUGCAAGUCGAGCGGCAGCGCGGGGGCAACCCUGGCGGCGAGCGGCGAACGGGUGAGUAAUGUAUCGGAACGUACCCAGUCGUGGGGGAUAACUAUCCGAAAGGAUAGCUAAUACCGCAUACGUCCUGAGGGAGAAAGCGGGGGACCGUAAGGCCUCGCGCGAUUGGAGCGGCCGAUAUCGGAUUAGCUAGUUGGUGGGGUAAAGGCUCACCAAGGCGACGAUCCGUAGCUGGUCUGAGAGGACGACCAGCCACACUGGAACUGAGACACGGUCCAGACUCCUACGGGAGGCAGCAGUGGGGAAUUUUGCGCAAUGGGGGAAACCCUGACGCAGCAACGCCGCGUGAGUGAUGAAGGCCCUUGGGUCGUAAAGCUCUUUCAGCAGGAACGAAACGGUGGCCCCUAAUACGGGCUACUAAUGACGGUACCUGAAGAAGAAGCACCGGCUAACUACGUGCCAGCAGCCGCGGUAAUACGUAGGGUGCGAGCGUUAAUCGGAAUUACUGGGCGUAAAGCGUGCGCAGGCGGUUAUGUAAGACAGGUGUGAAACCCCCGGGCUUAACCUGGGAACUGCGCUUGUGACUGCAUAACUUGAGUGUGGCAGAGGGGGGUGGAAUUCCACGUGUAGCAGUGAAAUGCGUAGAGAUGUGGAGGAACACCGAUGGCGAAGGCAGCCCCCUGGGUCAACACUGACGCUCAUGCACGAAAGCGUGGGGAGCAAACAGGAUUAGAUACCCUGGUAGUCC